rnacentral:misc_RNA from 1 species
UAACCGUAAGUGAACCUGCGGAAGGAUCAUUGAAUAUGCAAACCACAACACGCACUCUCUACUUUGUGUACCGACGUUAGGUCAACACACGCAAGUGUGUGGCCUACUAACCCUACACACCAUUGACCAACCACUGAUCAAACCAAACUCUGAAGCUUUGGCUGCUGUUAAUCGGCAGUUUUAACAAAGAACAACUCUCAACAACGGAUAUCUUGGCUCUC